CCGCCAAGGUGGCCGAGCGCGCUUCCCUUGGGCUUGGGCUCGCGGUGGGACUCGACGCGCCGGAGCGCGCAGUCGCCGAAGCCGGUGGAGAGGCGCUCCAAGAAGUCCCCCGAGAAGCUGCGGCUGCCGCAGCCCACGGAGCGCGACCGCGCCACCUUUCUCCCGAACGACGAGGACGACGACCCCUCGCUGCGGCGGCCCGGGCUCUCAGGCUCCUCUAUCGCCUCCAGCCUCCGCCCCAGCGACGCCGACGUCGCCGAAGCCACCGACACCGACUUCCUCCUCGCGGACGCGGUGCCCUCCCCACUGGCCAGAGACGACGACCCGCUCCGGUGGCCGCUGGAGGAGGAGGAGGGGUAG
rnacentral:rRNA from 1 species